GACGAACGCUGGCGGCGUGCCUAAUACAUGCAAGUAGGACGCAGUUGCGAACGGGUGAGUAACGCGUAGGUAACUACCUAUUAGAGGGGGAUAACUAUUGGAACCGAUAGCUAAUACCGCAUACUAGUAGCUGGACCUGCGUUGUAUUAGCCAGUAGGUAGGGGAAUGGCCUACCUAGGCAACGAUACAUAGACGACCUGCGGGGGUGAUCGGGCACACUGGGACUGAGACACGGCCCAGGAGCCUACGGGAGGGAGCAGUGGGGAAACAUCGGCAAUGGGGGGAACCCUGACCGAGCAACGCCGCGUGAGUUGAGAAGGUUUUCGGAUCGUAAAGCUCUGUUGUUAAGGAAGCGGUACUUAACCAGAAAGGGACGGCUAACUACGUGCCAGCAGCCGCGGUAAUAC
rnacentral:rRNA from 1 species